UACAGAGGUCUCAAGCGUUGUUCGGAUUCAUUGGGCGUAAAGGGCGUGUAGGUGGCGCCGUAAGUCAGGUGUGAAAUUUCGGAGCUUAACUCCGAAACUGCAUUUGAUACUGCGGUGCUUGAGGACUGGAGAGGAGACUGGAAUUCAUGGUGUAGCAGUGAAAUGCGUAGAGAUCAUGAGGAAGACCAGUGGCGAAGGCGGGUCUCUGGACAGUUCCUGACACUGAGACACGAAGGCCAGGGGAGCAAACGGG
rnacentral:rRNA from 1 species